rnacentral:pre_miRNA from 12 species
UCCUGUGGUGUUUGGCAAUGGUAGAACUCACUCUGGUGGUGCUGGAAGGAUCCGGUGGUUCUAGACUUGCCAACAACUGACUUGAG